rnacentral:rRNA from 1 species
AAACCGCAUAGGGGUUAAGCCCGAUGAACCUGAAUAUCUGAAAUGAGAAAUUCAAUAUUAUUUCAGUAAUUUAAAAUUUUAAUCGAUUUUAAAUGAACGAUGGUAUGCACUUUUCUCAUAGUAAGACAUUGCGAUCCAUUAGUGUUAUAUCAUUAUUUUAUUAUAAUGAUGGUUUAUCAAACGGCUCAUUUGUUAUUGUUUAUUCUAUCUGUAAUAUUUUAUUAUAUUAUAUGAAUAAAUUUCUGAUGAUGUCCUGGUAAACAGCUAAUGGAGCUUAAAAAUCAUACUUGCAUAAUAUUUAUAUUAUGUAUUACAAUUUUUAUUUUUCGUAAAUAAAAAUGUAGUAAUAGUAUUUGUAUAUGAUUAGCAAUGCGAUAGAUUUAGGAUACCUUCGGGACCCGUCUUGAAACACGGACCAAGAAGUCUAACAUGUGUGCAAGUCAUUGGGUAUAUUGUUGAAACCUAAAGGCGUAAUUAAAAUAACUAUUUUUUAAUGGGAUUACAAAUAAUUUAUUUUAUAAUAUUAUUUCUCCAUCCCGGGGCGUUCUAAUUAAACAUGUUUUAAGUAAUUAAAUCCUCUGUUUAGGAGCGUACCUUGAGCAUACAUGCUGU